rnacentral:misc_RNA from 1 species
GUCGAGCGAACUUUUGGGAGCUUGCUCCCAAAAGUUAUUUUGCGGACGGGUGAGUAACAAAUGGGCAACCUGCCUAUAAGACUGGGAUAACUUCGGGAAACCGGAGCUAAUACCGGAUAAUUCUUUUCCUCUCAUGAGGAAAAGCUGAAAGACGGUUUCGGCUGUCACUUAUAGAUGGGCCCGCGGCGCAUUAGCUAGUUGGUGAGGUAACGGCUCACCAAGGCAACGAUGCGUAGCCGACCUGAGAGGGUGAUCGGCCACACUGGGACUGAGACACGGCCCAGACUC